ensembl:lncRNA
CUCACACACAGCUGUCUCACACACACCUGUCUCACACACAGCUGUCUCACACACACCUAUCUCACACACACCUGUCUCACACACAGCUCUCACACACACCUGUCUCACACAGCUAUCUCACACACAGCUAUCUCACACGCACCUAUCUCACACACACCUGUCUCACACACACCUAUCUCACACACAGCUAUCUCACACACAGCUCUCACACACACCUGUCUCACACACAGCUAUCUCACACACACACCUCUCACACACACCUGUCUCACACACAGCUCUCACACACACAGCUGUCUCACACACAGCUAUCUCACACACACCUGUCUCACACACACCUGUCUCACACACACCUGUCUUACACACAGCUAUCUCACACACACCUCUCUCACACACACCUGUCUUACACACAGCUAUCUCACACACACCUGUCUUACACACAGCUAUCUCACACACACCUGUCUUACACACAGCUCUCACACACACCUGUCUUACACACAGCUAUCUCACACACACCUGUCUUACACACAGCUAUCUCACAAACACCUGUCUUACACACAGCUCACACACACCUGUCUCUCACACACACCUGUCUCUCACACACACCUGUCUCUCACACACACCUGUCUCACACACACCUGUCUCACACACACCUGCGGACUGUAGGGCCUGAGUUAGAGCAUGGACCAGAAGAAGCUCAUAAAAAUAUAAUUCUUAAUAAAGUAGGGCUGAGGGGGACGCAACUAAAGGGUUAAAUAAGAUUCUCUCUCUUAGCUUCCUCUAUAUAGUAACCUGAAGGUAGUGGACAGGACAGCAGCUUCCUCUAUAUAGUAACCUGAAGGUAGUGGACAGGACAGCAGCUUCCUCUAUAUAGUAUCCUGAAGACAGUGGACAGGACAGCAGCUUCCUCUAUAUAGUAACCUGAAGGUAGUGGACAGGACAGCAGCUUCCUCUAUAUAGUAACCUGAAGGUAGUGGACAGGAGAGCAACUUCCUCUAUAUAGUAACCGGAAGGUAGUGGACAGGACAGGAGCUUCAUCUAUAUAGUAACCUGAAGGUAGUGGACAGGACAGGAGCUUCCUCUAUAUAGUAACCUGAAGGUAGUGGACAGGACAGGAGCUUCCUCUAUAUAGUAACCUGAAGGUAGUGGACAGGACUGCAGCUUCCUCUAUAUAGUAACCUGAAGGCAGUGGACAGGUGAAACUAACAGCUUCCUGUCUAUAGUAACCUGAAGGCAGUGGACAGGUGAAACUAACUGCUCCCUGUAUAUAGUAACCUGAAGGCAGAGGACAGGUGAAACUAACAGCUUCCUGUCUAUAGUUACCUGAAGGCAGAGGACAGGUGAAACUAACAGCUUCCUGUCUAUAGUUACCUGAAGGCAGAGGACAGGUGAAACUAACAGCUUCCUGUCUAUAGUUA